UACGAAGGGGCUAGCGUUGCUCGGAAUCACUGGGCGUAAAGGGUGCGUAGGCGGGUCUUUAAGUCAGGGGUGAAAUCCUGGAGCUCAACUCCAGAACUGCCUUUGAUACUGAAGAUCUUGAGUUCGGGAGAGGUGAGUGGAACUGCGAGUGUAGAGGUGAAAUUCGUAGAUAUUAGGAAGAACACCAGUGGCGAAGGCGGCUCACUGGCCCGGAACUGACGCUGAGGUACGAAAGCGUGGGGAGCAAACAGG
rnacentral:rRNA from 1 species